GGUGCUAUGAUGAGAUGAAGACACCUAGGAAGUGGCUAUGGGCGGUGGUUUCUCCGUGAGACUAAUGUCAAAAUGAUUUCUCCUUUCGCUGAGCAUU